rnacentral:rRNA from 1 species
GAUGAACGCUGGCGGCGUGCCUAAUACAUGCAAGUCGAGCGAACGGACGAGAAGCUUGCUUCUCUGAUGUUAGCGGCGGACGGGUGAGUAACACGUGGAUAACCUACCUAUAAGACUGGGAUAACUUCGGGAAACCGUAGCUAAUACCGGAUAAUAUUUUGAACCGCAUGGUUCAAAAGUGAAAGACGGUCUUGCUGUCACUUAUAGAUGGAUCCGCGCUGCAUUAGCUAGUUGGUAAGGUAACGGCUUACCAAGGCAACGAUGCAUAGCCGACCUGAGAGGGUGAUCGGCCACACUGGAACUGAGACACGGUCCAGACUCCUACGGGAGGCAGCAGUAGGGAAUCUUCCGCAAUGGGCGAAAGCCUGACGGAGCAACGCCGCGUGAGUGAUGAAGGUCUUCGGAUCGUAAAACUCUGUUAUUAGGGAAGAACAUAUGUGUAAGUAACUGUGGACAUCUUGACGGUACCUAAUCAGAAAGCCACGGCUAACUACGUG